AGGUUACAACUGUAGAAGGAAGCAGUUGAGAAGAGAAGCACUUAGGGGAUGAUGUCGAUCUUGCACAUUCAGCUUUAUGCUAUUGAAUACUGUCGGAGGAAGGAAUCAGUGCUGAGGUGAUCAACCUUCGAUCAGUUAGGCCACUGGAUAGAGCUGCGAUAAAAGCAUAUGUUACGAAAAUAAAUAGGUUGGUGAUUCUUGAAGAAGGCUCCCCCCAACAUCGUGUUGGUGCUGAGAUAUGGUUUUCUCUCUCUCUCUCUCUCCACACACAUCAUGUCAGGUUUGAGCAGGCCAACCCUCUUCCAAUUAUUCAUUCGAAUUAUUGUACAGAAUCUACAAUUAUAAGAAAGAAGAAUUUGAUAAAUUAGAGAGAGAUAUGCUUUCAUAAAUUGCUCACCCCUGAAGGUUACAAAUUCAAGUGUUGGGUUCGAAGGAUGAAGCAAAUCCCAAAUCACAUGUUAAUAUAUCUUGAUGCACAUUUGUAUUUACUUUGCUUCAGGUUCACAUGCAGUGACGGAGAUUUCAUCGGCUCGCCUCCAUUUUCUUGGUGAACCCACAUUUCCCUCUAAGGUACAUUCUGAAGGAGAAGAUUGCUGGUCGAGAAGGCCAUUUAUCUGAUAUUAGUUUAUUGAAGAAAUUGCCCAUGAUGUAUUUUCAGUACAUUAGGAUUUUUUGUAGUCGCAUGGUUCUGAUAGGAAGAUACCGUUGCUACCAGGUCAACAAUCUCCCCUUCAAUAAUAUUUGAUUUACAUUUUGUAUGCCAUUCAUCGAAUCAAUGUGGAUUACAAUGACCA